ensembl:lincRNA Gm20619 predicted gene 20619
GUCUCCCCUUUGAAAGGAGGGAUCGAGCAGAGCGUUCACUCACUCUGCACUCCCAUCGAAACCACAGGCUCCAGCUCUCUGUGCUAUCUGAGAGAAUAUAACCAUGUAGAAAGUCUUCAUGUGGAACAUCUGUUACGAAGAAAUUCUACUUGGAAAGCUUGUCUGCUCUAUUAACCCAUCCCUGUUGCUCACUUGGAAGAAGAGGGCCUUCACUUUCCACUGUAAGAAGAAGGUCUUCUGUUGCUCUGAACGCUUCUGUUUAGAGACCUUUCUUCAGUGUCCCCAAGGUUCUCAGAUUCCUCUUUCGCAUUAACUAGCAUAUGCUACAGUGAUCGGAGGACUGAUGACCAGGCUUUCAGUUCUCUGAAGUGUGAUGAACAAUCAACAGUACAGGUUCUGACAGUGAACCGUAGAGCAGCACAUGCUAGAGCUCCGGCCUCCUCUUCAGAUGCUCUGGUUUUAUGUUCAUAGUGCUCAACAGUUAUGGAAACCUAAAUUAGAUUUUAUGUGCUUGUGUUCAUGGCUACAUUCAUAACGGAGAUAGUGGAAAUAACCCAAGUGUUCAUAGAAAGAGAGAAGCAGAACACGGUGCAUACAGUUUCAUGUUGGUCUGCUUUACCAAGGAGGGGCAAUCUGAUGCAGGCUGCAACAUCGACCAACCUGAAAGACAUGGCUGCAUGGAAUAAGUCUGAUGAGAAGUGUUAAACAUCACCGGCAUUGCUUGCAUUCAUGCAUAUGUCGAAGAUGUCACGAAUAUGAAAAACAUCUAGGACAGGUAAAUGCAUAGAGACAGAAAGACAGUAUCUGUGGGCUAUAGAAAUGCAGAGUUAGUGUCUAAUACAGAGUUUGCACAGAGUUUCCACUGGGAGAGACAAAAGUGUUCAAGAGAUCUAUUGUGCUUGUUGUACAGAAAUGUGAAUGCACAGAAUCCUACUGUGCAGUACUCAAAACAGCCCAGUGUUUUAUGUUAUCUUUAGAUACAACUAUGGAAAAAAAAAACCCUAACUGCCAUACUAACAGGUCACAUAAGGAGGAACAUACGGUGUUUAUCUAAGGAAGAGUAAGCAUACCUACUCAGCUGGAGGACACUGCAAAGUGGUAGAGGAAACAAGGCUUGAAAGUUAGGUUGGGCGCAUUAUAGAGACUGGAACUUUGAAGGUUUGUGGGUCCUACACAAAAUCUGUAGAAAGAGGAGGCAUUACAUUCAGAUCAGCCAGCUCCUUACACCUAAGAACAACCUGGAAGAUGGAUUGCACAAUCAGUGGAGAGUGGUGUGUUAAGAGAUCAUGAGUUUUUCUCAUUGGCUUCUCUCUAGGUCUCCCACUCUGUUUCCUGCUAUGAAAGCCACACAUCAUAUCAAGUGAACUCAGUUUCACAAACCUUCCUUUAAAAUGGGGAUUCUCAAGAAGAUAAAAUGCAUACAAGUCACCCAGGUAGCCUGUUAAAUUCCAGAUUUUUAUUUGGUGUUGGCCCUGGAUUCUGCAUUUCUGAAGCUCAAAGACACUGCUGUGACUACUAGAGGGCAGUUUGAAUUGUCUGGCUCUAAGGUCCUAGAUUCUCAGCAACCAUUUCAUCACUGUAACUCAUUAUAAGAUGUUGAGGAGAUGUCACAGUGGCAGACUGAAGCCCCUGGGCACGCAGUCAUUCCUACUGUUCCCACAACCAAAGCCCUGCCUCCAGGCCAAGAUCACCAUUAGGGUUCCAUGUUGGAAAAAUGAACUUGGCUUUAUUGGAAUGGACUACAGUGUGGUGAGCUUGAUGGUAGGGGCUGUAGUACAGAAUAGAUACAACUAAGGUCCUUGAUGUGGAGUAACAUGCAUGUGUAUAGCAUGGUAUUCGUGGACACACCUAAUGUUUGGUGGGAUUCAUCUGAGAUCUGUUACAAUCUCAAAAAAAACCAAAUUAGCUAGUACAAAUGAAGUUAAUGAGCCUCUACCACCUGCUUAUUCCACCUUAGGCUACAGGUACUCUGUGAGCAGGCUUGGAUCAAUUAGUCAAUGUAAUUGAAGCCAAAUGUAAUUAAUUAUAU